rnacentral:lncRNA from 1 species
AGCCACUCAUUUUCACUCGCAAAAAAACGCUUGGGAGGCUUUGGGCACCUCCCUAAAAUCACUCUAGUAAGGGGGAGAGGUUUUGAACUCCUUUGGUGGGGAGCUUGUUUAAGGUAAGAAACUGCUAUUCCCACCCUCUAAUCCUUAUUGGUUAGUUAGUGAGCAAUUUACAUUUUGGUUUUCUCUCUCUUCCAUGGAGCUUGAGCUUUGUGUUGACCAAAUUAGAGCUUAUCUAUGAUGCUAUUAGUGUAGAAUAGGUAGAGACACCACCUUGCACCAUCAAUUAGGUGAUAUAGCUUGAUUUUAAUGGAGAUUAAUUGUAGUUUCAUGUAUGGAGAGAAAAGGCAUUCUAGAUCUAGGGUUUCUUUUUUUGUUUUUGUUUCAUAAAAUUGGAAUGUGGUUGGCAUAAAUAGUUAUUGGUAAACUAAUAGUUGUUGCUAAUAUUAAUUGUUUCUAAUAAUGGUAGAUAAUAAUAGGUACUAUUAAUUAUGUCUAAUAAUCGUUUCUAACACAAUUAUUGCUAAUAAUGAUAGCUAAUAAUUGUUGCUAAUAAUGGUAGAUAAUAAUUGUUACCUAUUAAUUGUUGCUAAUAAUGGUAGAUAAUAAUUGGUGCUAUUAAUUAUUUCUAAUAAUCGUUUCUAACACAAUUAUUGCUAAUAAUGAUAGCUAAUAAUUGUUGCUAAUAAUGGUAGAUAAUAAUUGUUACUUAUUAAUUGCUGCUAGUAAUUAUUCUCAAGUAAUUAAUUUUUUUUAUUUAUGUAAAGAUGGAGAAUAGGGCUACUUGGAUGUAUGGUUUGCCAAGGUACUCGCAAGCCUAUGCUGAUGAGGUGGACAAAUUUAUUACUGUCGUGGUGAAUCAUGCAAAGACGUUGUCAGCAGGAAAUAAUUGUUCAGUUAUUUGUCCCUGUAAAGAUUGCAAGAACCAUUUAGCAACUUAUGAU